ACAUGCCUACAACAUAGCGUUAAUGCAUUGGAUCCCAUUAGAACUCUGCAAUUAAGCGCGCUCGAGCUAGAGUAGUAAUUGGAUGGGUGACUGCCCAGGAAGUCCUAGUAUUUUACAUGCC
rfam:Picea glauca, whole genome shotgun sequence.